rnacentral:other from 1 species
ACGGUUAUAAAUCAACAUAUUGAUUUAUAAGCAUGGAAAUCCCUGAGUGAAACAACGAAUUGCUGUGUGUAGUCUUUGCCCAUCUCCCACGAUGGGCUUUUUAACAU